rnacentral:rRNA from 1 species
UACGUAGGGUGCAAGCGUUAAUCGGAAUUACUGGGCGUAAAGCGUGCGCAGGCGGUUAUGUAAGACAGGUGUGAAAUCCCCGGGCUUAACCUGGGAACUGCAUUUGUGACUGCAUAGCUAGAGUACGGUAGAGGGGGAUGGAAUUCCGCGUGUAGCAGUGAAAUGCGUAGAUAUGCGGAGGAACACCGAUGGCGAAGGCAGCCCCCUGGGCUAACACUGACGCUCAGGCACGAAAGCGUGGGGGAGCAAACAGG